UACGUAGGGGGCAAGCGUUGUCCGGAAUCAUUGGGCGUAAAGCGCGUGUAGGCGGUCCGGUAAGUCGGCUGUGAAAGUCCAGGGCUCAACCCUGGGAUGCCGGUCGAUACUGCCGGACUAGAGUUCGGAAGAGGCGAGUGGAAUUCCCGGUGUAGCGGUGAAAUGCGCAGAUAUCGGGAGGAACACCAAUGGCGAAGGCAGCUCGCUGGGACGUUACUGACGCUGAGACGCGAAAGCUAGGGGAGCAAACGGGG
rnacentral:rRNA from 1 species